ACUCCUACGGGAGGCAGCAGUGGGGAAUAUUGGGCAAUGGGCGAAAGCCUGACCCAGCAACGCCGCGUGAGUGAAGAAGGUUUUCGGAUUGUAAAACUCUGUCCUUGGGGACGAAAAAAAUGACGGUAGCCAAGGAGGAAGCCCCGUCUAACUACGUGCCAGCAGCCGCGGUAAUACGUAGGGGGCAAGCGUUGUCCGGAAUGACUGGGCGUAAAGGGCGUGUAGGCGGCCGAUUAAGUCUGGAGUGAAAGUCCUGCUUUCAAGGUGGGAAUUGCUUUGGAGACUGGUUGGCUUGAGUGCGGAAGAGGUAAGUGGAAUUCCCAGUGUAGCGGUGAAAUGCGUAGAGAUUGGGAGGAACACCAGUGGCGAAGGCGACUUACUGGGCCGUAACUGACGCUGAGGCGCGAAAGCGUGGGGAGCGAACAGGAUUAGAUACCCUGGUAGUC
rnacentral:rRNA from 1 species